GAGUUUGAUCCUGGCUCAGGAUGAACGCUGGCGGCAUGCCUAAUACAUGCAAGUCGAACGAGAGACCUUCGGGUCUCUAGUGGCGAACGGGUGAGUAACACGUAGGGAACCUGCCCGCGCACCGGGAAUACGCUCUGGAAACGGAGAACAAAUCCCGAUGUACAGGAAGGAGGCAUCUUCUUUCUGUGAAACAUCCUUUAGGGGAUGGGGCGCGGAUGGACCUGCGGUGCAUUAGUUGGUUGGCGGGGUAAAGGCCCACCAAGACGAUGAUGCAUAGCCGGCCUGAGAGGGCGGACGGCCACAUUGGGACUGAGACACGGCCCAAACUCCUACGGGGGGCAGCAGUGGGGAAUAUUGGACAAUGGGGGGAACCCUGAUCCAGCGACGCCGCGUGAGUGAAGAAGUAUUUCGGUAUGUAAAGCUCUAUCAGCAGGGAAGAAAGAAAUGACGGUACCUGACUAAGAAGCCCCGGCUAACUACGUGCCAGCAGCCGCGGUAAUACGUAGGGGGCAAGCGUUAUCCGGAUUUACUGGGUGUAAAGGGAGCGUAGACGGUUGUGCAAGUCUGAAGUGAAAGGCGGGGGCCCAACCCCCGGACUGCUUUGGAAACUGUAUAACUGAAGUGCAGGAGAGGUAAGUGGAAUUCCUAGUGUAGCGGUGAAAUGCGUAGAUAUUAGGAGGAACACCAGUGGCGAAGGCGGCUUACUGGACUGUAACUGACGUUGAGGCUCGAA
rnacentral:rRNA from 1 species